rnacentral:rRNA from 1 species
UACGUAGGCAGCAAGCGUUGUUCGGAAUUACUGGGCGUAAAGAGUGUGUAGGCGGUGCUCCAAGUCUGGUGUGAAAUCUCCCGGCUCAACUGGGAGGGUGCGCUAGAAACUGGAAUGCUAGAGGAUGGGAGAGGUAAGCGGAAUUCCUGGUGUAGCGGUGAAAUGCGCAGAUAUCAGGAAGAACACCCGUGGCGAAGGCGGCUCUCUGGUACGUGACUGACGCUGAGACACGAAGGCCAGGGGAGCAAACGGG